rnacentral:rRNA from 1 species
AGAGUUUGAUCCUGGCUCAGAACGAACGCUGGCGGCACGCUUCAUACAUGCAAGUCGCGCGAUUAAGGCCCGCAAGGGCGCAUAAAGCGGCGAACGGGUGCGUAACACGUGGAAAUCUGCCAUUCGGUGGGGGAUAACGGCUGGAAACGGCCGCUAAUACCGCAUGUGGUUGCGAGGUCUUCGGGCCUUGCAAAGAAAGAGGCCUUUAAAGCCUUGCCGAGAGAUGAGUCCGCGCCCCAUUAGCUAGUUGGCGGGAUAACAGCCCACCAAGGCUUCGAUGGGUAGCCGAGCUGAGAGGUUGAUCGGCCACACUGGGACUGAGACACGGCCCAGACACCUACGGGUGGCAGCAGUAGGGAAUAUUGGACAAUGGGGGAAACCCUGAUCCAGCGAUGCCGCGUGGAUGAUGAAGGCCUUCGGGUCGUAAAGUCCUUUUCUGAGGGAAGAACUGUCUGGCGAGGAAAUGCGCUGGAUUUGACGGUACCUCAGGAAUAAGCAACGGCUAACUCCGUGCCAGCAGCCGCGGUAAUACGGAGGUUGCAAGCGUUGUUCGGAAUAACUGGGCGUAAAGGGAGCGCAGGCGGCUUGGUAAGUCUAAAGUGAAAUUCCAGGGCUCAACCCUGGACGUGCUUUGGAUACUGCCUGGCUUGAGUACGUGAGAGGAGAUUGGAAUUCCAGGUGUAGCGGUGAAAUGCGUAGAUAUCUGGAGGAACACCGGUGGCGAAAGCGGAUCUCUGGCACGUUACUGACGCUGAGGCUCGAAAGCAUGGGGAGCAAACGGGAUUAGAUACCCCGGUAGUCCAUGCCGUAAACGUUGUGCGCUAGGUGUAGGAGGUAUAGACCCCUUCUGUGCCGCAGCUAACGCAUUAAGCGCACCGCCUGGGGAGUACGGUCGCAAGACUGAAACUCAAAGGAAUUGACGGGGGCCCGCACAAGCGGUGGAGCAUGUGGUUUAAUUCGAGGCAACGCGAAGAACCUUACCCAGACUUGACAUCCCAGGACCGCCUAUGAAAGUAGGUUUUCCCUUCGGGGACCUGGAGACAGGUGUUGCAUGGCUGUCGUCAGCUCGUGUCGUGAGAUGUUGGGUUAAGUCCCGCAACGAGCGCAACCCUUGUCCUUAGUUACCAGCGGGUUAUGCCGGGCACUCUGAGGAGACUGCCGAUGAUAAGUCGGAGGAAGGUGGGGACGACGUCAAGUCAUCACGGCCCUUACGUCUGGGGCUACACACGUGCUACAAUGGUCGGUACAGAGGGACGCAAGAUCGCGAGAUGGAGCCAAUCCCAAAAAGCCGGCCUCAGUUCGGAUUGCAGUCUGCAACUCGACUGCAUGAAGUCGGAAUCGCUAGUAAUCGUGGGUCAGCUACACCACGGUGAAUACGUUCCCGGGCCUUGUACACACCGCCCGUCACAUGACCCGAGUUGGGUGCACCC